CUGUUUACACACACGGUAGGCUCCGCUGCCACCGUGAGAAAGAAGAGUGGCGAACGGGUGAGUAACACGUGGGUAACCUGCCCAUCAGAAGGGGAUAACACUUGGAAACAGGUGCUAAUACCGUAUAACAAUCGAAACCGCAGGUUUUGAUUUGAAAGGCGCUUUCGGGUGUCGCUGAUGGAUGGACCCGCGGUGCAUUAGCUAGUUGGUGAGGUAACGGCUCACCAAGGCCACGAUGCAUAGCCGACCUGAGAGGGUGAUCGGCCACAUUGGGACUGAGACACGGCCCAAACUCCUACGGGAGGCAGCAGUAGGGAAUCUUCGGCAAUGGACGAAAGUCUGACCGAGCAACGCCGCGUGAGUGAAGAAGGUUUUCGGAUCGUAAAACUCUGUUGUUAGAGAAGAACAAGGAUGAGAGUAACUGUUCAUCCCUUGACGGUAUCUAACCAGAAAGCCACGGCUAACUACGUGCCAGCAGCCGCGGUAAUACGUAGGUGGCAAGCGUUGUCCGGAUUUAUUGGGCGUAAAGCGAGCGCAGGCGGUUUCUUAAGUCUGAUGUGAAAGCCCCCGGCUCAACCGGGGAGGGUCAUUGGAAACUGGGAGACUUGAGUGCAGAAGAGGAGAGUGGAAUUCCAUGUGUAGCGGUGAAAUGCGUAGAUAUAUGGAGGAACACCAGUGGCGAAGGCGGCUCUCUGGUCUGUAACUGACGCUGAGGCUCGAAAGCGUGGGGAGCAAACAGGAUUAGAUACCCUGGUAGUCCACGCCGUAACGAUGAGUGCUAAGUGUUGGGAGGGUUUCCGCCCUUCAGUGCUGCAGCUAACGCAUUAAGCACUCCGCCUGGGGAGUACGACCGCAAAGGUUGAAACUCAAAGGAAUUGACGGGGCCCGCACAGCGGUGGAGCAUGUGGUUUAAUUCGAAGCAACGCGAAGAACCUACCAGGUCUUGACAUCUUGACCACUCUAGAGAUAGAGCUUCCCUCGGGGGCAAGUGACAGUGUGCAUGAUGUCGUCAGCUCUGUCGUGAGAUGUGGCUAGUUCCCGCACGACGCAGCCUAUGUAGUUGCCAUCAUCAGUUGGCAUCUACAGACUGCGUGACGACCGGAGAGGUGGAUGACGUCAUCUCAUGCCUAGACUGGUCUACACCGGCUGACAAUGGCAAGUCAC
rnacentral:rRNA from 1 species